UCAGUGUGAUUCCACUUGAAGUUUGCAGUAGUAAAAAAAACUAGGAAUUCCAAUCACUAACCACUGCGCUCCACCUAUAGAAGCCUCCAACCAUUUGACUUUCAGGCUAUUCAUUCAACUAUCUUAAUUUUUGAAAUAAUGAAUAGCUCUCGUGAAUAUGAAUUUGCCUCCAACCACCUCAUCCUUCAAGUAAUUGUUUUGCCACUUGUGCUUUCUUUAAUCCCUGUUUUCCUAGGGCGGCGAUGUGGGUUCUUUCGGUGGCGCUCGC
rnacentral:lncRNA from 1 species